rnacentral:tRNA from 1 species
AGAAACUUAAGUUAUAUAAACUAGAAACCUUCAAAGUUCCAAAAAAAGCUAUACUUUAGUUUCUG